rnacentral:rRNA from 1 species
GUGAGGAAUAUUGGGCAAUGGGCGAAAGCCUGACCCAGCAACGCCGCGUGAGGGAUGAAGGCCUUCGGGUUGUAAACCUCUUUUCUGGGAGAAGAGACAAGGACGGUAUCCCAGGAAUAAGUCUCGGCUAACUACGUGCCAGCAGCCGCGGUAAUACGUAGGAGGCAAGCGUUAUCCGGAUUCACUGGGCGUAAAGCGCACGCAGGCGGUUAUGUAAGUCGGACGUGAAAGCUCCUGGCUCAACUGGGAGAGGUCGUUCGAUACUGCAUAGCUUGAGGUUGGGAGAGGGAAGCGGAAUUCCCGGUGUAGUGGUGGAAUGCGUAGAUAUCGGGAGGAACACCAGUGGCGAAAGCGGCUUCCUGGCCCAUACCUGACGCUCAGGUGCGAAAGCGUGGGGAGCGAACGGGAUUAGAAACCCCUGUAGUCC